rnacentral:rRNA from 1 species
AUUGAACGCUGGCGGCAGGCCUAACACAUGCAAGUCGAGCGGAUGAAGGGAGCUUGCUCCUGGAUUCAGCGGCGGACGGGUGAGUAAUGCCUAGGAAUCUGCCUGGUAGUGGGGGAUAACGUCCGGAAACGGGCGCUAAUACCGCAUACGUCCUGAGGGAGAAAGUGGGGGAUCUUCGGACCUCACGCUAUAGAUGAGCCUAGGUCGGAUUAGCUAGUUGGUGGGGUAAAGGCCUACCAAGGCGACGAUCCGUAACUGGUCUGAGAGGAUGAUCAGUCACACUGGAACUGAGACACGGACCAGACUCCUACGGGAGGCAGCAGUGGGGAAUAUUGGACAAUGGGCGAAAGCCUGAUCCAGCCAUGCUGCGUGUGUGAAGAAGGUCUUCGGAUUGUAAAGCACUUUAAGUUGGGAGGAAGGGCAGUAAGUUAAUACCUUGCUGUUUUGACGUUACCAACAGAAUAAGCACCGGCUAACUUCGUG